rnacentral:rRNA from 1 species
GACAGAGGGUGCAAACGUUGUUCGGAAUUACUGGGCGUAAAGCGCGUGUAGGCGGCCCUGCAAGUCGGAUGUGAAAUCCCACGUCUCAACCGUGGAAGUGCAUUCGAAACUGCAGGGCUAGAGUCCUGGAGAGGAAGGUGGAAUGCUUGGUGUAGAGGUGAAAUUCGUAGAUAUCAAGCGGAACACCGGUGGUGAAGGCGGCCUUCUGGACAGUGACUGACGCUGAGACGCGAAAGCGUGGGGAGCAAACAGG